UAGGGGAUCUUCCGCAAUGGACGAAAGUCUGACGGAGCAACGCCGCGUGAGUGAAGAAGGAUUUCGGUUCGUAAAACUCUGUUGUUAGGGAAGAAAAAAUGUAUAGUAACUAUAUACAAAAGAGACGGUACCUAACCAGAAAGCCACGGCUAACUACGUGCCAGCAGCCGCGGUAAUACGUAGGUGGCAAGAGUUGUCCGGAAUUAUUGGGCGUAAAGCGCGCGCAGGUGGUUUAGAAAGUCUGAUGUGAAAGCCCACGGCUCAACCGUGGAGGGUCAUUGGAAACUAAUAAACUUGAGUGCAGGAGAGAAAAGUGGAAUUCCUAGUGUAGCGGUGAAAUGCGUAGAGAUUAGGAGGAACACCGGUGGCGAAAGCGGCUUUUUGGCCUGCAACUGACACUGAGGCGCGAAAGCGUGGGGAGCAAACAGG
rnacentral:rRNA from 1 species